GCGGGGGCUGGUUCCUGGUCCCCGGGAGAAGCCAAGAAGAUUCCCUGCAGCCUGCCAGGGACGUGGUAGCUGCCCUGCCAAGAGCUAUCCUGGGAGGGCUAUUGAAAGAGCUUUGAGCACUUGAGCGGCUCUGCACCCAGCAUUUGGAUGGAGAAAGGGAUAGACAAGAAAGCCAAGUGUCUACCGACAGAAGAGGAUUCAGGAAUGCUUGCAGCAAGAGUCCUGGUUGCCAUGCAGUGGCAUUCGAAACGACCGCAGCUCUGCAUUCCAUCUUUGAUAAAAAUAAGUUGCUACUUCUAAACAAAACUGCCUAGUUGGUUUCUGGCCAAGCUGGGACCUCGAACUGCAAAUCGCGGGUGAAGGUGGAAAAACAAAGUUUUAAGCAUUGGCUCAUAGCAGACUGUAAUGCUUUCUGCUUCCCCCCAGCCCUUUGGAAAACUUGACCACAGCCAGUGGGACCAAGGGAAUGUGCGCUUUUCUAAUGGGCCCAAAAAGAGGAUGGUUGCCAGGAAAGCCUUUCCCAUGGGGCGGGGGCA